rnacentral:rRNA from 1 species
AGCGAACGCUGGCGGCAGGCCUAACACAUGCAAGUCGAACGGAUCCUUCGGGAUUAGUGGCGGACGGGUGAGUAACACGUGGGAACGUGCCCUUUGGUUCGGAACAACUCAGGGAAACUUGAGCUAAUACCGGAUGUGCCCUUCGGGGGAAAGAUUUAUCGCCAUUGGAGCGGCCCGCGUCUGAUUAGCUAGUUGGUGAGGUAACGGCCCACCAAGGCGACGAUCAGUAGCUGGUCUGAGAGGAUGAUCAGCCACACUGGGACUGAGACACGGCCCAGACUCCUACGGGAGGCAGCAGUGGGGAAUCUGCGCAAUGGGCGAAAGCCUGACGCAGCCAUGCCGCGUGAAUGAUGAAGGUCUUAGGAUUGUAAAAUUCUUUCAGCGGGGACGAUAAUGACGGUACCCGCAGAAGAAGCUCCGGCUAACUUCGUG